rnacentral:tRNA from 15 species
GCGAGAGUGGCGGAAUCGGCAGACGCGCACGUUUGAGGGGCGUGUGGGGCGACUCGUACGGGUUCAAGUCCCGUCUCUCGCACCA